rnacentral:rRNA from 1 species
AAUCAACGCUGGCGGCGUGCCUAACACAUGCAAGUCGAACGCGGUUUCCCCGCAAGGGGAGACUGAGUGGCGAACGGGUGAGUAACACGUGGGUGACCUACCUUCGAGUGGGGGAUAACG